rnacentral:rRNA from 1 species
UGCCAGCAGCCGCGGUAAGACGGAGGGUCCUAGCGUUGUUCGGAAUGACUGGGCGUAAAGGGUACGUAGGCGGUUUGGUCAGUUAGAUGUGAAAGCCCAGGGCUCAACCUUGGAACCGCAUUUAAUACUGCCAGACUUGAGAUCGGAAGAGGAAAGCGGAAUUUCUAGUGUAGAGGUGAAAUUCGUAGAUAUUAGAAGGAACACCAGUGGCGAAGGCGGCUAACUGGACUGAUACUGACGCUGAGGUGCGAAAGUGUGGGGAGCAAACAGGAUUAGAUA